GGAAAUUCUGGAAAGGUUCCCGGCUUUGUGUUCAUGAGAUAGAGGAAGUGAGGUCAUAUUUCAGGAAGGGGACAAGACACAUUGCACUGCUGUACUGCAGAGAAUUUGCUGAAAGUUUCUGAUACAGAAAAUGAAGAAGGAGUGAUAAAAGUGUUGCAAAACAGAAUAUUGGUCGGCUCCAAGCAAGGUCCUGAACCUUAGACCAGGGCUACUCAACUAUUUUCACCAAAGGUCCGUGUACAGAACUUAAA